AACGAACGCUGGCGGCAUGCCUAACACAUGCAAGUCGAACGAGACCUUCGGGUCUAGUGGCGCACGGGUGCGUAACGCGUGGGAACCUGCCCUUAGGUUCGGAAUAACUCCCCGAAAGGGGUGCUAAUACCGGAUAAUGUCUUCGGACCAAAGAUUGAUCGCCUUUGGAGGGGCCUGCGUUGGAUUGGCUAGUUGGUAGGGUAAAAGCCCACCAAGGCGACGAUCCAUAGCUGGUCUGAGAGGAUGAUCAGCCACACUGGGACUGAGACACGGCCCAGACUCCUACGGGAGGCAGCAGUGGGGAAUAUUGGACAAUGGGCGAAAGCCUGAUCCAGCACUGCCGCGUGAGUGAUGAAGGCCUUAGGGUUGUAAAGCUCUUUUACCCGGGAUGAUAAUGACAGUACCGGGAGAAUAAGCUCCGGCUAACUCCGUG
rnacentral:rRNA from 1 species